GUACCUGAAAGAGACUCCACACCUGCCUUUGAAACUGAAAGUAGCAUCUGUGGGCUGAGAAGACAAAUGAAGAGGUGGAUGAGUAGAAGACAGAGGAAGAAGAAGAAGAAGAAGAAGAAAAGAAGAAGAAGAAGAAGAAGAAGAAGAAAAGAAGAAGAAGAAGAAAAAAAAGAAGCAGCAGCAGCAUUGGAGUCUACCUUGAGAACCUGGAAACUGGAACUUGGGAAAAGAUCAACGCCGCAGUUAACACAAAAUGUGCAGAUAAAUGUUAGGGAAACUUCUCUGAGAUGCAAUGAUGCCUGGUACAAGCCUUCCUCUGCCAUCAACUGCUUUUGGGUGAUUUGCCAGUGGAUUGGACAUACAUGGGGCAGUCCUGGAGAGGGGUCAGCCCUGUGUAAUUGCCAGUGAUUUGCCAGUGGAUUGGACAUACAUGGGGCAGUCCUGGAGAGGGGUCAGCCCUGUGUAAUUGCCCUGUUUUUUGGCAUAAUUGCAUUUGAAAGGCAAAAAAUUAGGCCCUUCAAAAAUAGAGAAAAAAUUGCCCCUUCAAAUGGUAGUACAGAGAUCUGUGGCACAGGACUGUCUUAAAAGUGACCUGUACAGUUGUCUUGGGUAUAUAUUACAGCUGUACAUUGAACUACUCACAGAUGCAAGAUAUGCUACAAAUUUAUCACACCACAUGGUUCUGUGAUGCUGUAAGUACUUAUUAAUGCAAGUUGUUCUAAAUGACCUCUCAAAGAAAUAGGACUAACUUUCUUAAACAUUUUGAUGUUACACACAAAUACUGUAGUGCUGCAUAUGUAUAAAGUGUGCAUCCAUUUGCUGACUUUUUUUACAUUUAUUUUGUUAAAAUUAUGUGAAUGCUUCAUAUAGAUUCUUAAAUGAAUAUAUUCCAUCUUUAUACUAAUUUAUAAACUUUAUUAAUACAUUAAAUUUUGCUAGAUUUUUAUAUAUGUGCUCUUAUUAAGCUUAUAAAAUGAUAAAUUCAUUUUAAAAUGGCAGUUUCACUAGUGUAUCUUUUGUUGAACUUAAGACAGUGCAGAAGAUAGUAUACAUUUAAAAAGUCAAGGGGUAGCAUCUAAAUGUGUAUCCAUUACUGAAGUAACCCUUUUUAAAAAUCACAGCUGGCUUUCUAAUUGUCUCUGUGUUAGAUGCUAGAUAUUGUUAAAUAUUGUUUACCACAGAAUAGGUCCACUCAGGGUGUAAAAGGUGAAUGUGCGUCUUUCUCAAAGUCCCAUGCAAUAAUUCCUAUACCAACUCUGAAAAUGGAACUGAUAAUAUGUCAAUGAUUACAAUACAAAGAAGUUAAAUAUUACAACUAAUUUUCUCACUGAAAUAUAAUCCAGGGAUUAGCAACAAUGGCAAAUCUGGUUUAUUUGCAUUUAAUUUGUACCUUCACACUAUUAUCUCCCAUGUUUUAGUUUCAGGAAAUGUGGUUCAGACUAUUAUAACCACAUUUCAUGCUGCAGUUGCACUGUUUGAGCUCUAUGCUAAGAAAUGACUUAAAAAUUAAAGCCAGCAUACUUUAUUUUAAUUAUAUUAGAGCUGUGUCUAAGUGCAAAAAAAUAGUACAGCAUAUAUUUAAUAUGGAGCAUGGAUUAACAGUUUUAUGAGACAUAAAAUCUAUUUUCUAUUUACAAAUCAGUUAUAUAUCUUUCAACAAAACAAAUGCCUAUAGUGUAAAAAUGAAUAAGGAGAACAUCAAACUAGCAAUCAUGUAAGCAGUAAAUAACAUCUUAAUUGGCCUGGAAUGCUGGAGCUUGAUUUUUUUUGGAAUUAGGCUUAUUUAUUGAUCUAUAUGGCAUAUUUAUUUUUCCAGUGAUUUGUACAAGUCUAUACCCUUUCCUCAAUAUUAGAUCCAUGUAUGGCUUUAUACUGCAAAUGCCAUUUUGCAAAAUAGCUAAGUAGAAGAAGAAUUGUUGCUUAUAGAAAAGCCAUCCAUUUAAAAACUUUCACUGAGGCAAGAAUUACUUCACAGUUUUUACACUUUGUCUUCUGAUAAAAAGAAGGGGGCAGAGGGAAGGGGAAGAAAUGCUGCUAUUAUGCAAUUGCCACCCAAUGAAUUCUUCAACAGUCCUUUACUCUUUGCUGUUUUGGCAGUGACAAGAAAACAAGGAAGGAUCCCAUGUGCACUGGGAAAUAUCUUUUAAAUGCUCCUGUCUAUGUUCCUUUCACCAGCAAGACUAGCAGGCAGAAAUGGGUAUGGUGGGCUUUAUACAUGGUUUGCAAUCUCUGGUUCUUCUUAGGAGCUUUUGUGCAGAUUUGUCCUUAACAUCCACACUGUAUUUCAAGUCAUGCAGCACUUCACCCCAUACUUCGCACAAUACUAUGGAGUUGAGAACUGGCAAAUUCAAACUUCCUCCACCAUGGUGUCUGCUGUUUCUUCUUGCUGAAACAUAGGUGUCUGCUGCUAAGUCAAUAUACUAGAGGAGGAGGGAAAUUUAUCAAUGACUCUCUUCUUUCUUAUAAAAAUGUAGUUGAAAAUGUCACUGUGGAGAUACUGCUCUGUUGCUUUGCUUAGGUUUGUAAAACUCUCGUCCUUAAAACUGCUUCUGCUGCUGAUAGUGGAAAAAAAAAUUUACAAACAGCAAUUUUACCCUUUCCCAUCUUCUGCUUUUAUGAAAGUGGUGAUAUAAACACGGAAAAGAUUGUGCUCUGAUACCUGUCAUUGCUCUAGUAUAACCUUAGCUGUCUGGAAAUGAGCUAAUUAAAUUUUUUGGUGUGUCUUUUAGAGAAUACAUUUGCAUUUGACAUAAUUAGUGGUAGGCAGAUCCAGCUAUAUCCAGGGGGAAUCUCAAGACAACUGCUUUGCUGACUAUUAGUGCUUAAUUUCUGAAUGUCAAAUCCCGCACAUCUUAAUUUCUAGAGAAUAAGCUCAAUUGAACUUGCUCCCCAGUUAUGCAAAAACUGUUCAGAUAAAACCAAGUGGACACGAAUGUAAUGAAUGUGGUUAUUAAAUUGUUUCAAUUGAAAGAACCCUAUUCUUAUACCAUCAUAAUGGGAACAAUUUAUCCCCACUGAUCAGCCUGUCUCUUUUUUCUGAGCUCUCUUUGAUCUUGAAGCAUAUUGCAGUGGUGUGUCCUAUUGAAAAGCAAAACUGGGGCAAUUUUAAUGCUUUUGUACCUUACCAGUGCUCUAUUUUUCGUUGUUUAAAAAUAGCUGUUAAUUAUAAGUGCAGUUUAAAUGUCUCAAGUGACCCAGAAAUGCAGGUUGGAAUGAGACAGAUUGUGUGUCUCAAAUAAAACAGAUGUACUUUCACAGA
ensembl:lncRNA